AAGGUACUUCCUCCGUUUCAAAAUUCUUAUCUUACAUUUGUCUAAAUACGGAUGUAUCAAGUUACGUUUUAGUAUUAGGUACAUAUGUAUCUAGACAAAUCUAAGACAAGAAUUUUGGAACGAAGGAUAUA
rnacentral:pre_miRNA from 1 species